rnacentral:lncRNA from 1 species
CUGGCAACCACACCUAGCUCCCUCCCCCUGCAACCCCGCACCCCGCCUGGUAAAAGUCCAGCCCAUCUGCUGUCUGCUGCCCCACCUCCUCCGGCACCACCCCGUGCAAGCUCAGCGCCACCCAGCCCUGCACCCACCCCCAGCAUUCCACCGUCGGGUGUCCGUUGGAAGGCAGGUCUGGAAGCUCUUAGCCCAGCAUCAAACAGAGUGCUCUAGGAGCUGAGGGGAGGGCUGAAGGGCAGAGAGCAAGCAAGACAGCAGGCCUCCUUGUUACGGUUAGCAGACUCAUGAUAACGCCAGCGUGGACGCCAGCUGCUCUCUGGGCUGUGGAAUUCCAAGGCUUGGCACAGCACUGGCUUGCAGCUUCUCACCUGAGCAGGAGAUAACAGGGAGCUUGGACAAUAGUAGUGAGGAUUGGAUUUCACCACAUGAAGGCUUGGAGGCUCACACCAGACCCUCAGCAGCCACUCUCCUCCGUACCUCACAGGCCCCACUGCACACUUCUGCUGCUACUGUGAGUUCCUCCCCAGAGGUGGCUGCAUGUGUGUCUGACACCCCAAGGGACUGCAGACACCCUGAGGGCAACCCCCACCCCCAACUCUGCCCCACAGGCCUUCAUCUUUCUGGCCUCUUUCUAAUUCUAUUUUGAGUAUUUGCAGAGCUAAUGGAUAAAUGGAUAAUUGACAAAUGAGGGAGAAAAUAUUCAUUCUACUUUAAAGAGGCCAAGGCUUCCACCUCAAGGAAUUGGAGCUACUGAAAAAGAGCAGACAAUGUGAUUCAACACUGUUACCCUCUCUACCUUUUCAUCCAGCUCUUGAAACUUUUAAAAAAAUCAGCCCAGGAUGUAUCUCAGUGGUAUAGUACUUGCCUGGCAUGUGUGAGACCCACAUUAGAUCUCCAGUACCACAAAAAAAAAAAAUUUUCAAGGAAAUCAAAAAAAAUCAGCCCUUAUUUAAACCCAUUUCUUCCCAAUAAAAUCUAAAAACAAAAAUGUAGCAUUGUUUUAAAGGUCAUUUAGUGAAUGCAGGAUUUGGACAUUCACUCCCAUUGUUGGGACCUCAGUUUCCCCAUUUAUAUAAUACAGAGUUGGACUGUUUUUCAAAGGGUCAGGAAGGUCCUGAUCCUUUCACAUCAGUAUGUGAAAUGAAACUAGUAAGGAAUUGUUCCGCCACCUGCUGCAGAAGCACCAGGACCUGAGUUCGAUCCCCGGUACCAAAGAAAAGAAAAGAAAUUACUAAGAAAUAAAGUAUAUAGAAU